rnacentral:rRNA from 1 species
GAUGAACGCUGGCGGCGUGCCUAAUACAUGCAAGUCGAGCGAACGGACGAGACGCUUGCUUCUCUGAUGUUAGCCGCGGAGGGGUGAGUAACACGUGGAUAACCUACCUAUCAGACUGGUAUAACUUCGGGAAACCGGAUCUUAUCCCGGAUGAUCUUCUGAACCGCAUGGUUCAAAAGUGAAAGACGGUCUUGCUGUCACUUAUGGCUGGAUCCGCGCUGCUUUAGCUGGUUGGUAAGGUAACGGCUUACCAAGGCAACGAUGCAUAGCCGACCUGAGAGGGUGAUCGGCCACACUGGAAGUGAGACACGGUCCAGACGCCUACGGGAGGCAGCAGUAGGGAAUCGUCCGCAGUGGGCGAAAGCCUGACGGAGCAACGCCGCGUGAGUGAUGAAGGUCUUCGGAUCGUAAAACUCUGUUAUUAGGGGAAAACAUAUGUGUAAGUAACUGUGCACAUCUUGACGGUACCUGAUCAGAAAGCCACGGCUAACUACGUG